UACGUAGGGGGCAAGCGUUGUCCGGAAUCAUUGGGCGUAAAGAGCGUGUAGGCGGCCAGAAAAGUCCGCUGUGAAAACUCGAGGCUCAACUUCGAGCUGUCGGUGGAAACUUUCUGGCUAGAGUCCGGAAGAGGAGAAUGGAAUUCCUGGUGUAGCGGUGAAAUGCGCAGAUAUCGGGAAGAACACCCGUGGCGAAGGCGGCUCUCUGGAACGGUACUGACGCUGAGACGCGAAAGCGUGGGGAGCGAACAGG
rnacentral:rRNA from 1 species